AACGUACGCUGGCGGCAUGCCUAACACAUGCAAGUCGAACGAGAUCUUCGGGUCUAGUGGCGCACGGGUGCGUAACGCGUGGGAAUCUGCCCUUUGGUUCGGAAUAACAGUUGGAAACGACUGCUAAUACCGGAUGAUGACGAAAGUCCAAAGAUUUAUCGCCAGAGGAUGAGCCCGCGUAGGAUUAGCUAGUUGGUGUGGUAAAGGCGCACCAAGGCGACGAUCCUUAGCUGGUCUGAGAGGAUGAUCAGCCACACUGGGACUGAGACACGGCCCAGACUCCUACGGGAGGCAGCAGUGGGGAAUAUUGGACAGUGGGCGAAAGCCUGAUCCAGCAAUGCCGCGUGAGUGAUGAAGGCCUUAGGGUUGUAAAGCUCUUUUACCCGUGAUGAUAAUGACAGUACCGGGAGAAUAAGCUCCGGCUAACUCCGUGCCAGCCGCCGCAGUAA
rnacentral:rRNA from 1 species